CCCUAUUAUUUUGGAGUGUUAAUUUUUUGUGCCUGAGUAGUAUUAGUUAUGUUCUUGAAACUUAAAGAAUUUGGCGGUAUCUCAUUCCGUCCAGAGGAAUCUGUCCCGUUAUCGAUAGUCCGCGUUGGACCUUACUUAUUUGAUUUGGUUUGUAUACCGCCGUUUAUUGAUUAUCUUUUUAGGGGUUGUUUAAUUUUCUGGUUUCUUUAUUUUGAUAUAUUUCAGGUCAAGGUGCAGCUUGUUUUUAAGUGGAAUGAUGGAUUACAUUGAUAUUUGUUUAUGGAUUGUUGGUUUUAAUAUUGGCAUGAAAUUGGAUUUGGUUGUAAUGAUUUGUAGAUUGUUAUUAUGAUAAUUGGUUCUGAGAUAUGCACACAUCGCCCGUCGCUCUCGUUUGUUUAUUAUAAUGAGAUAAGUC
rnacentral:rRNA from 1 species